UGCAAAGAACGGGCGCGAGUGACAGAGCGACCUUAACGGAUUAGCACCUUAACGGAUUAGCACCUUAACGGAUUAGCGUGGCAAGACCAAGAGCAGUGAUGACCUUUUAGCUGGAAUGGCCAGAGGGGUAACGGUGACUAAUGGUGUUAAAGGGAAGGAAAGCUCCUGCCCAUCUGCAGCACCUUCGGCAUCUGCCCCUGCCAUGACCACUGUGGAGAACAAAUCCAAGAUUAGCACAGGUAUGGGUGACAUUCAGUCUGAGACUUCAACUGCUUUUUUGUUUGAAUAGGCAGGAUGCAUUGGUGUUUACAGUGUUCCAUCUCAUUAUAGGAAAUUGUAGACAUACAAAAGUAGAUGGAUUGAUAUUUCAGCCCAAUACGCUCAUCACGCUCAUCACCAUUAUCAGCUCACAGCCAGUUGUAACUCUGUGAUACCCACCCUCCCCUCUUAUUAUUU
rnacentral:lncRNA from 1 species